GGUUUCUUGAAGUAUUUAAGAGAUUUAACCUGCCCACUGAAAUUGAGUUUUGAAGGGCCGCAGUAUUUUGACUGUGCAAAGGUAGCAUAAUCAUUAGUCUUUUAAUUGGAGGCUGGAAUGAAUGGUUGGACGAGGCAAAAAUCUAUCUUAUAAUAAUUAAGAUUGAAUUUAGAAUUUAAGUAAAAAUACUUAAAUUGAGUUAAGGGACGAGAAGACCCUAUAGAGUUUAAUAUAUUAAGUGUUAAUUGAGUUUAAAUUAAUGUAAUUUUUGGUUAAUAUGUCAUAUAUUUAGUUGGGGUGACUAAAAGAUAAAAGUAACUCUUUUUUGUAGUAAAUAAUUUUAUUAAGUUUAAGAUCCACAAAAUAGUGAUUAUAAGAUUAAAUUACCUUAGGGAUAACAGCAUAAUUCUUUUUGAGAGUUCUUAUCGAAAAGGGAGAUUGUGACCUCGAUGUUGGAUUAAGAUAAAUUUUGGGUGUAGAUGUUUAAUAAUUAGGUCUGUUCGACCUUUAAAUUCUUACA
rnacentral:rRNA from 1 species